rfam:Otolemur garnettii contig060143, whole genome shotgun sequence.
GCCAGGCGUUGUGGCGGGCGCCUGUGGUCCCAGCUACUUGGGAGGCAGAGGCAGGACACUCGCUUGAGCCCAGGAGUUGGAGGUUGCUGUGAGCUGUGAUGCUCCGGCACUCUACCCAGGGGGAUAGCUUGAGGCUCUGUCUCAAAGAAAAAAAAAAAAAGACAGUCUCACUCUGUCACCCUGGGUAGAGUGCCAUGGCAUCAUAGCUCAUAGCAACCUCAAACUCCUGGGCUUAAGUAAUCCUCUUGCCUCAG